AAUCACAGUUAGCAAUAAGAUUGUUAGUCUUUGCUGUAGGCAAAAAAAAUGUCCUCAACCAGCUUUAAUAAGGGUUCAACUUCUCCUCCAGCUCACCACCCACCAGAGUGGAAAAGAAAGGUUACUAGGCUACAGGAGAAGUGGACCUGUUUUGAAAUAGUUCUUUGGGGGCAAUUCCAAUCUUUGUUGUUCUCAGUCCAGUCCACUAACAAACCCUUGCCAACUGGCCUGAGUCCCCGGAAGCGGCAAGAAGCUGCAGGAAUCUCACGAGAAGUUCUUUGGUGAGUUUCUCUCUGUGAAGUCACCACAAGCGAAGCUCAACAACACAAUGUAAGGCAAACCAAUACAAGCAUGUCUGUUGUCAGCGGAAAAUGUCGAGGUGGAGCAAAGCAAGCCAAUGCUUGAGCUCCCACUGUCUAAGGGAUCAUGUUCAUAUUCCUUCUAAACAUCACAUGUCCUUUCACGUGUCUGCUAUAGCAAAACAUCCUUUCACCCGUGUGCCCCAGCAAAACAUCAUUUGACAUAACUGACUUUUCAAAGAAACCACAUGUUUCCACUUCAUAAUGCUGUGUCCUGCACUGAGGGGCUGUGGGUGGAGGGAAAGAGGGGGGAGGGAGAGAGCCGGAGUCCAGCCAGAGUUCCUGUGCUGGCAGACAUGGGAGGACUGCCGGACGCUUUCCACACGGCCCCGGGUGGGCAUCUGGCUGUGUGAAGCCACUGACCCCAUACGGCGGCGGGUAGACAAGGGGCAGACCCCGGUACCAAGUUCUCAUGCUGGAUAGGGCAGAGGAGCUGAGAACAGAAUAGGGGCCCCAGAGCAACACUCUUGGGCCGGAGAUACGAGAAGAGGGCAGAGGAAGAAGGUUCCCACGAAGGAGUUCUGGGAUUUGCCACUCAGCCGAUUUCCCAAAGAUGAAGAGGAAAUGUGUUUGUUCAUUUAAAUUGCUUCAUGUAAGGAUCUGCUCAGCUGAACACCUGGAUCGUAUUUUGAUAAUGAUGCUGUUGAUGUUGAGGAAGCUUGAUAAUUCAAUAACGAUGCAAUGCAUCCUAUUUUUAAAAGGAAACUUGGCUGGAUCUUAGCUAAGUAAACAGAAGAGGUUUCUUUUAAGAAAAUGGUAAAGGGAACAGAUUUGCAAACCCACCAGAAGCGAGAACAGCCCUCCUCCUGGCAGCUUUGUCUGUGUUUGGCACUUUCCAGGUCACCUCCAGGAUGAUAUAAUGUCUCUGUGGGCCUCAUGCCAUCUGCUGUCUGUCAUGGCCUGGGGCCCAUCACUCCUAAACCUUCCCUCCUGCUGGCUUUCCAUGUGAGCAGUCCCAGAAGCAGCCAUGUUCGGUGCAGUGUUUUCCUGUCUUGGGAUAACACAUCACCCCGAGUCACAGUGUCCAACCGGCGGCUAUAGGAGGAAACUACCUGAUGUGAUUCUGGCCUUGAUCCAAAGCUGCCCCAAGAAACAGCAGUGGUAGCUUGGGAUGGGAGCUGCUUCUGAAGCUGAAAGCCACCAGACAAACAGCCUGAAAUCUGCUGUUCACACUGGCACCAGCCUAUCUGAGAUAGCCCUGUAGCCUUCUGAAGAUAUUUAGCCAGUUGGCACGGUAAAGACAAUUCCAUCCUGCCUACUUCUGUGGGCCAUCCCCUCCCUGGGAGCUCCCUGAGGAGGCCGGUAGGCUGUGGGAAGCAGUGAUAUUUAGUGUAGGAGUCUGUAGAUCUGGUUUUCAUCAGAGGACUCCAGGGGUUCCAUAUCCUUCCCUGGGAUUUUCUGGUCAUGGUCCUGACUCUCUGGCUCGUGAUGCUCCAGCUGAACAACUCUGUGAGCCUUCUGGCAGCCUCUGCACCUGGAAAGUGCCUGCCUUAGCCAGGAAACUAGAAAUCCUAGCUCAUGGGAGCGUGGACUGGCCAAGACCAUCUGCAGAUUUUGCACUUGUAAGGCAAGGACCUUGAAAGUCAAAUUUUUAAAGAAAGCAAAAAGUGGUAGUAGAGCAAGGAGCCAAACAUUGAAACAAUUAAAAAAAAAAAAAGCAGAGAAGAAAAUUUGACCAAGACAGAUGCAUUACAAUGGAGCCGUGGAUUGCCAUGGUUCCAAGAGGGCAUCAGAAGCUGUCCGUUCUUGCCCAGCCCCUUACUGCAUUAUGAAGAAUCUUGCCUGUGUCCAAUGGAGUAGGGUCUCUUCUUGGUCCUUCACUGGGUUUCAGCUGGAUUAACAGAAGAGAAUGAUUAGGGUAGGGGGCUGUGUGAGUAGGAAAAAAACAUAUCAAUAUUGUCUUAGUCAGGAUUUCUAUUCCUGCACAAACAUCAUGACCAAG
rnacentral:lncRNA from 1 species